GAAAGGUCUUUCUACUUUCAAUUUGAAAAUACACUUGGGUAUCAGAUAAAAUGUUUAUAUACAUAUGCUGUAUAUCGGAUAAGCAACGAAAUAGACUAGGGUAGACCGAGAUUAAUGCUGUCGUCAGGAUGUGACGUUUCCAACCCUAAACCUUUACGUAAUACACAUUUUGCCGGCUCUUUCCAGCCAUAUAACAUCGCCAUGUUUUUUUUAGAUGUUCUAUAAUUCUAAAGGAUUUUGUAUUUUCUUUUUGCCGCAGGAUUUUGAUUAUUUGAGGAUCAAAUGUAUUCCCGAAUUAAAAUUUAGCAUUGGCUCAUUCCAGGAAAUUUCUUUAGUUCAUGUUUAACUGAAGGAAACUUUCAUUCAGAAGUUUAAAACUUUUUUUUACGCAUAUAGCUUGACAUCUCAGGGGCAGUUAAUUGCAGAAACAGAGACGUUCAUGUUCCAUUGGAUAACAGAUUCGAACCCGAUGUUGUUUAUAUAGAGUGACAAGACUACAACAAGUGAACAGUUUCUUGGAGGGAUACAAAAGAUUUAUUUUAUUUUAUAAGUUCUUAAACAGGUAUUGCAACGGGAAUUCCCUGUUAUCAUAUUUUAGAAUGUAAACGGAAAAACCCGCUAGCGGCAGCAAGAAUAUAUAAUGGGUUUUGUGAAGAGACUAGUCCACCGGUGAAAUCGGAUAAAAAGUGUGCUACACAUGUGCUACCGAAGCCAUAUGACUUCCGGGAAUCAUUUCCUCUGUGUCUAUGACAAUUUAGAAAGAAGAAUGCUCGGCAAGCUGUUCUUCUUGUAUCUGGUGUGUGUGGUCAGUGCAUUUCCUGCCUCCGAUUGCAGUUGGUGCGAUGCCCCUGAUAUGACGUCGUCGUCCCAUUUGGACAUCGCCCUUGACUGUGGAGAGAAUGAAUUCUACAACGCCAAACUACAACGUUGUUCGUACUGUACCCAGUUUGACAGCGAGGUGAUUGAUCUUGUCAUGAGAUGUAAUAAGACCCACGACCACAUCUUAAAGUGCAAAGACCAUCAGAAGUAUAUAACCUUUGAACCAGCAGACGAGUGCUCUUGUCGCACCGUUUGCGAAUACUGUGAUACUUGCGGGAUAGGUAACAACGUGUACCUGUCAUUCGAAAAACGAAAGUGUGGCGACUACUACAACACGGUGUGUUGCAACAAAGAGGAUGAUGUAGUGGUCGAUGGAACAAAAUGCGUGAGUCCCAACGACCUGACGACCACCACCACAACAGCAGCGCACACACACAAGGUAGGAGAUACUGGUCUUCAAUCAGGUGAUGUCAAUGCAGCGUCGAAACCUGUACGGACAGGUAUCGUUUUGAUGUUGACGUUUGUUUAUUCAAUGCAGAACUUAUGGACCCUUAUAUAGACCCGUAAAAAACUGAAGUAGCGAUUGCUUGAAGUUGCAUUGUGUGCAUUCCUGUUUAGCUGAUGUAGGCUACUACAUACAGUAGUAUUAAGGCUGUGGCCUUCUUGUUUACACAAACGUGAUACGACUUUCGGAUUUUCCAUUGUGAGAGGAACCGAGCCAUCAAGGUUGCCGUGACUGCGUGCCAAAACCCAACCACUCUUUGUUUUAAUCGCAGGUCAAAUGUCUACAGCCAGCAUUGACUAUUGACACACAAUCAAUGCGUUGGUUAAUACGGCGAGGCUUCGACGUGAUACGACCACGUGAUCAGUUAUACAUGAAGAAAAACUGAGGCCGUGAAAACUGAAGGAGUGAUCCCACGUGAUGAUAUCCCAGCCUUCCCUAUCAUUUGACAUGAGCGGGAAAUUUGGUUCUGCAGCCUACAGGACAACCGCAACCAUGACAACGCUAUCAUUGGAAUGAGCAGAUAUAGAUAUAGGAAGAUCUAUACAUUUUCAAAACGAAUGGUUGUAAUAUAAAAAAAAACUAUGUGUGAUGCAAGUGGACUGGCUCCUACAGAUCAUUUGUGGUUAGUUAGGGUUGCCUAACACUCGAAAUCAUGGAUUGUAUGUAUUCCUAAUACUAGAUUAUAUCCUCCUGAAUUCAACAUGUCACAUUUAGUCAAAAAUGGUUUUAUUGAUGCUUGUGAUACAAUUUGUCUUGGGCAGUAAGACCUCCUGCUGUUCAGACAUGCUCUCUCUACAGUGUAUAGAUUGCUUACCUUCUGUCACAUUGAGACAACGGGCAUAACUUUAAAAAAAAAUCUUAAGAAGCUUUUUUUGUCUUGCCAAGAGACAAAUUCUUGCAUUCAUCUAUUACUGUUGGUCAAGCUCAGAGCUCAACAGAAAGAUAUUUUGACUCACGAAUAUUGGUUAUUGUCACAGUCUCAGCUGACUUUGCCUGAUUUAAUGUUCACCUCAGGUUAAGAGGUUAAAAGACGGCACUCGCAUCAACUGCCCAAAUGUUACCACCUAACUGAAAUUACUACUCGACUUUUCUAAGUCGCUACUGUCCGUCCCGGACCAAAAUAUACUACUUGACUGCCCGGUCCAAAGGAUACCAAUUGACUGACUUGACUGAACUCAAAGUCAACUUUGUUCGUUCUACUUCCUGUUUUCUACAUCAGAAAUCAACGCGUCUUUUAAACGUCUUAAAAUGAGGUGAACAUUAGAUCAGGCAAUGUCAACUGAGACUGUGACAGUUGUUAUUAAAGCAAUGUGUCAAGAUAGUCCGAAAUGGUUACAUUAUUAUUAGGCAGAGUCUGAUUAACGGAUUUAGAGAUAGUUUCAUAGAUAAAUCGAUAAAUAUUUUUAAAUAAAGCCUCUGUUUUGUUACGGUACAUUGUGCUCAUUUCAAAUAUCUUUUUUUUUUCUUUUUGCUUCUGUGUUAGUUUUGUACAAGUUAUUAUAUGUAUUUUUUUUUUUUUGCAGUUUUGUUUUUGCAGUUAACAAUAUGCAUCUUGCCAUCUAUAUAAGGAAAAAAAAAGUGUUUACAUUGUGAUGCACAUCAUUCUUUCUCUUAGAUUUGUGGCAAUGCUUUAAAAACCAUCUAUCUGCUGCCAUGUCUUUCCGUCUGUCCAUCCAUUCAUAAUUUUUUUCAAUUUCCAAUUCUUUGUGUGGACGAACCUUUCAGUAGAUGUUUUUUUUCAAACUGUCCAUUCCGUUAUUUGACUUUUUAUGCCCGUUUGUUAUUAAAUUGAAAUAUUGAAUGUGUCAUUUUGGAUGUUUGGGGCAAGAAGAAGGAAGUGGAAGAUUCAAAUCAGGGAUUUUUUUGUUGCUGUCAUUUUAAUUGUAUAUACAUAUUUUCUUAAUUGUGCAUAGCUGUUUAAAUUUUUUUUUAGUAUGUAACUAAGUUUGAUGUAUCUAUUCAUAUUACUUAAGUUAAUUGCAUUAAUUUGUUACGCUCUGGGCUGUCGUAUUGGGCAGCCAGCAUGUCUGUAUCUCACGUUCACCAGUCAUUGUGAAUGAUGAAAUAUUUUUCUGGAAAGCGCAUUCCACUUGAUUUUGGGUCGUCCCUUCUUUGUUAAAGUUUUCUGACGGGAGGAACUCUGGGAUCGUCGUGUUCCGUUCAUCUAACUCAGUGAUUCUCAAAUGUUUGAGUGUGCCCCCUAGUAACACAAAGUGCUGCGAUUCAACUGAGGAGAAGGAGGCUGUCUUUUUUUUUUCAUUAUGGCAAUAAGUCCAUUUUUGAAUAAUUAUCAAGAUAAAACGACAUUUUGUUUUUUCCAGUUUUCUGUUGGACCGUUGGAGCAUCACACAAACUUUCUCGACCGUCUUUCUCCAUUCCUCCCUGUCUUUUGCCUUGGAUAGAACGUCUUUCAAUGACAGGCCGGUCCAUUCUUUUAUGUUGUCUUCCCAUCGCUUUCUCUCUCUGCUUCUUUUUUUUUUUUUCCUGGUAAUGUUCCCUGAAGAAAGGUCUUUGCGAGCCUCGAAGACCUUGUAAUAUGGCCAUAGAGUUUUAGUUUGCGUUUUUUGACAGUAGUUCAUCGUAGGGUCAAAUCGCUUAACUAACACUGUCUCUAAUAUCUUGGUUUGGGAUGAAUUUACCAAUGUUAAGAAAUCCUAAAGGUUUACUGGGGCUAGGGUUUUGAGAAAAAUCCUCCCUUCGCUCAACAGGUUAGGAUCUGUACUUACUUCCCUUGUGCCUGGAGAAUGAAUUUCGGAAGAUCAGGGCUCAGAAAAACGCUUGGCGCAAGGGUUCAUCAAAUGGCAUCCAAAACUCUUUUCUUGCACACCUACGAAGCACGAGAGUAGAGGUAACAAAACUAUUUUAGUUUUGGCAGACAUUUGUGACCAGAUUAUAUUUUUUAGGAUUCACAUUUUUAUUUAUGAAUAAAGCACAUCAAAUUGUAACUCUUAUCUGCUACACAACUUUGUCAUCAGUAGAUAGAUCUAUAUUGUCUCACAUCAUGUCAUGGUCAAGUCAAAAUGGCUUCAGUUUGUAUGAGUAUAUGCUUUUAUAUUGUAACCACUGAUAACCUUUUGUAAGAUAUAUGAUUCACAUACUAUGAGUCUUAAUUGGAUAUUUCUUUACAUUCUCAAUUUCUUUUGCACAUGUCCUCAUACAUUUGAGAAGAAGAAACAUCUUUCGCGGGCGGAAGAUAUGCAUAAUAUAUUUAUAUACACAUAUAAUUUGUUAUAACAUUUUUAAAAAGGAUUACACCAUACUAAUGAAAGGUGCGCAUAAUAGGACGUAGACUUUGUUACUAUCGAAACACAAAUUGCAAUCUUUUUUGUGCGCGUCACUUUGUUUGUCAAAGGAGAUACUUAUAAUAUGUAUGAUAUAUCUGGUGUUCAAUUCGACUCCUUCUAAAAACUAUUUGCCUUUUGUCUGGGCAUAUACUCUAGUUAUCCAUAGAGUCGCUCUUACUUUAAGGAGAUACUUAUAAAUAAGUAUGAUAUAUCUGGUGUUCAAUUCGACUCCUCCUAAAAACUAUUUGCCUUUUGUCUGGGCAUAUACUCUAGUUAUCCAUAGAGUCGCUCUUACUUUAAGGAGAUACUUAUAAAUAAGUAUGAUAUAUCUGGUGUUCAAUUCGACUCCUUCUAAAAACUAUUUGCCUUUUGUCUGGGCAUAUACUCUAGUUAUCCAUAGAGUCGCUCUUACUUUAAGGAGAUACUUAUAAAUAAGUAUGAUAUAUCUGGUGUUCAAUUCGACUCCUCCUAAAAACUAUUUGCCUUUUGUCUGGGCAUAUACUCUAGUUAUCCAUAGAGUCGCUCUUACUUUAAGGAGAUACUUAUAAAUAAGUAUGAUAUAUCUGGUGUUCAAUUCGACUCCUUCUAAAAACUCUUUGCCUUUUGUCUGGGCAUAUACUCUAAUGAUCUAUAGUGUCUCUCUUACUUUUUAUUCUAUUUUACCAUAAGUGUGUAAGAUCUAUUGUCCUUUUUUUUUUCUAAAAAGCCACAAGUCUGGAACAUUGAUAACUUACCUUUUUUUUUUCUUUUUUUAAAACAUGUCAUUCCUACCCCAUGGGUUAUAGAAUGUGUGUGUUUGUGGGUUUCCAAGGGGAUGAUGAAGAAAGGGAGCAUUAAUUGUUAGAUGAUGAAGAAAGGGAGCAUUAAUUGUUAGAUGAUGAAGAAAGGGAGCAUUAAUUGUUAGCCUUGUAGAAUGAUGCAAGAUAAGCGGCUCUUUCAUAAUCUAUGUGUAAGAACGGGAGACGACCCGAGAGUUUAAGGACGUGUGUUUAUAAGGAGUUAAUAUUUAUUUAUAAUAUUAGUUUAUUUCGUCUCAUCUCAAGUUAAAGUCAUCAGCACGGUAAUAAAAGUUGUAUUUAGCUUUGUUCUUAAAAGAAGUUUAUUCAAGUUAUUUCAAGUUCUAUAAUUUUGAAUAUUAUUAUACAUUUACAUCGGUAUAGUUGUUUAGUUCCAUAAGUCAAACUGAUCUACCCCCCUCCCUCCACACAUAUAAAGUAUAUAUAUAUACUUUAUAAGGCAAGUUUUAAUUGUGUCCUGCGUUGGGUUGAGAACUCUCCCACUACAAAGACCACAUUAGAAUCCUGGAAAAUUUAUCACUAGUUUCUUGGAAUUCGCAUUGUCCUACAUUUCUAAGAGAUAUCCUUGUAUAAACUGUAGAGUAUUGAACAAAUAUUGAUAACAAUGUGCUUCAGUAUAUCUUAAGCUUCCAACACUAAAAUGUCUGUUUUAUUUCUUUAAAUUCAUAUGUAAUACUCUAUAAGACAUUUUGACAACUUUGUUAAUAUUUAUGUAAUAUUGUUAUUAAUAAUUUGUUAUUGUUGUUGAUUUAUUGAUAUACUUGCAAAGAGCUCAAAGUAUAAAACAAAAAAGUAUUCUUAGCUUAGUUAUCUUAGUUAUCUUUAGUGCACUAUUGAUAUCCAUUAGUUUUGGGGACAACAAAAUUAACUGGAUCAGAAAGGGGCAUUGUUUAAAAGCAUUAGAUACAUUUUUUCUUUCUUCAAUCUAACAAAAACAAAAUAUGCAAACAAACUUAUCCCUUAUAUUAAACUUUUAUUCAGUGAUUCGAGUUAGAGAAAUUAUAAAGUUCUUGGGUACUAUCGAAGAUUAUAUACUUACUUUGGAUUGUUUGGGCCAAAAAAUGCACAAUAGGUGACGAAAAGUCACUCUUGUCUCUCUAUCUUUAAUUGACUCUCUGUUUUAUUCUUUCCCCAUGUUCUCUCUCUUUCUCUCUCUCUUUCUCUCUCUCUCUGUUUUGCACUGUUUCUAUGUCUGUUUUUGUUGAUCUCCAUAUUUUCCGUUGAUGUAAUUGUUAAUUGCUAAGACAUUAUCCAACGUGUUGUUUUAUUCUGAUGUACUUAACACAUUAAUAAACAAGUGUACCUUUUUUUUUUUUUGUAGUCAUUUGUAGAAAUGUAUGUUUUAAAAACUAAUGUCACUACCAGAUCAUGUCUGAAACGUUGUGAUUAUUAGCGGCAUUUUUUUUUUCUUUUUUGGAUGCUGGUCUCUUUACCAUAGGAAUGAUUUAUUUGUUUAGAGAAAAUGCAUUUUUUUUAAAAUCGUUAAUUAGUAUCAUGUUUUUAUUUCGUCCGCAAGUAGCUAAGAGAAAUCUGAAUCAGUUGAUUUGAAGAUAUAAGAGAGAGAGAGAAGGAUGUCUGUACUACUUGCAGCUUAUAAAAAGUCAUGAUGUUUGCAUUGAGUGCUCAAUACAUUUUUUUUUUUUUUGAAA